GACAUUCCUAGACAUGCUAUGUUUAUUACACAACUCCAGGAUUCGUCGAUCAUGUGUAAUUAAGUUUGAUCGGCGUCUCCUGAAGUGAAGUAAUACAUGGCACAUGGCACCUAGAUGAUA
rnacentral:precursor_RNA from 13 species